rnacentral:rRNA from 1 species
UACGGAGGGUGCGAGCGUUGUUCGGAAUUAUUGGGCGUAAAGCGCACGUAGGCGGCCCGUUAAGUCUCAUGGUGAAAGGCCGGGGCUCAACCCCGAGCAUGCCGGGGAUACUGGGGGGCUGGAGACAGGCAGAGGCCAGCGGAAUUCCGGGUGUAGCGGUGGAAUGCGUAGAGAUCCGGAAGAACACCGGAGGUGAAGGUGGUUGGUUGGGUUUGAUUUGAUGUUGAGGUGUGAAAGUGUGGGGAGCGAACAGG